ACCAAUAACUGUUAGGUGAGGUGGCAUGUAAAUUGGUGGGACCGCAGUACCCACUAGAAACCCUAGUCGUGUGGGAUUUCCGUUUUCCUACCAGGGGAGUGUGAGGGAUUCGAGAAAAUAGUGGGAGUUACAUUUGUUCUAAAAGACCUUAGAACAGAUUAGGAUCAAGUACAAAAGUCUAACUAGAAUCUUUACUCUCUGCAGAUACAAUGUCAGCUUCAAACCCUUUGACCCGUAUUCUUGAGACCAACCGACUGACCGGAACCAAUUACAAGGACUGGCUAAGAAACCUCAAAAUUGUUUUGGACUGUGAAAA
rnacentral:lncRNA from 1 species